GGUCCGGCCGCGCGGCGCCGUCGUCACCCUCCUCCUCGCCCGGGCCCGCCGGCCCCGCCUCGCCCGGCCCGGUCCGGUAAACAGGCCCGGCGGGGAGGGCGCGGCGCCGGAGGGCUCCUCUGGUUGGGGCUUCUCCCGGGUUCUUGGCGGCGAACUUGAAGUUCACUGGCUUCUUGUCUUUGUCUGGGUCCGUGAGCCUGCGUGGGUCAGGGUCUCCGGAGGCCGCCGUGCGUGGGCCCGCGGCCUGGGGCCUGGCCUGUGGGCGUCUCUGCGUGUGCACACGCCUUGGGCAGCACCGCCAGUGUUUGUCCUGGAGUCGGAGUCGCGCAGUGCUGGUCUGUCCCUGUGCCUCAGGUGAUGUUGGCCAUGCUUUGCUGCCACGGAGGGGCCUGGGGUUUCCCUGGGCAUUGGACAGCUUGUCCCAGGCUUAGGGUCUAGUUCCGGCGCCAGUGGGGACCGGAGGAGCUUACAGCCUCAUUGUUUCCUUGCUCAGCCUCCACCCUGGAGGGCCCCUCCGUGCUGUGCUCUGUGCCAGCAGUUGGGGGGCACCCUCCAGGGCACACUCCGGCGGAGAGGUGAGCCCCGGGGCCUGGGAGACCUUCCUGGCUUCCCAGAUGGGUGCUCAGUUUCCACAGGUCUGCAGGAGCUGGGAACCAGACUGCACACCCCCACCCCACCCCCGCGCAGCCUCGGCAGCAGACUUGGGAGGCUCUGAGGUCACACCUUCGCCCAUUUCCCUGGGAGAGGUGGUGUUCUUAGCCUGUCUUACAGAUGAGGAGACUGAGGCACAGAGAUGUUAAGUGACCGGUGUGUGGUGCAGCCGGGUUGCUAACCUAGGUGAUGAGGUCAGUGCGUGGCCACAAGGGGCCAGAGCAGAGUGGUCUCCCUCGUGGGCACAGCACCCCUGGCCCGGGGCCUGGCAGGAGCAGGGGAGGUGCCCAGGGAGGCCUGAGGGCCAGAGCACAGCUGGCCAGGGGUGGUGGAGGCUGCCUGCUGAUAUCCUGGCUCCAGGGCGUACAGGGUGGGGCCUCCUGAGCAAAUGGAUGUGGUCCCAGUGCUGAGCCUCUGCCGGGGGCAGGUGCCACCCAGCUGCUCUGCGCCUGCCCAGAGGCAGGGCAGGGUGCCAGGCACUCUCCAGCUGCUGCUGUUCCUGGGACCUCGUCUUGCUCCCGGAGGCUGGAGUGUGCACCUUCGCAGGACCAAAUGGGCAGCAGCCGCGUCCCCCGGGGCUGGGGGACUGGGAGUGGGGGGAGGCCCCUGGAACCCAGAACCCAGAGCCCGCUCUGGCCCUCAGGCUCCGACCCUUGGCCUGGGGUUCUGGGUUCACCACCUCAGGUGCCCCAGCUGGUAGGUGGGUCCAGAUGGACCUGUGGCACCGGCCCUGGGCCCUGCUCACUGAUCUUGGUGCCUGACGACCCUGGUUGUGCAGGAGGGGGAAUCCCUGGGGUGGCAGCCUCUGCCCACCUGCCCACCUGCUGUAGGAGCUGCUGGAACUUCUUCAAGGGGUGCCUACAGCCAGGUGGCUGUGAGUGUCAGGUUACCAGGGAAACCAAGCCAGGCCAGCGCAGGUCUGGAGGACAGAGCUGGCAUUCCCUGAGCCCCUGUGUCACCCUCCUGCAGUGGGGGCUGGGCUGAGGAGACUGGUCCUGGUCCUCCGGAAACAGCCCCAUCCCAGCUCCCCGGAGAGAAGGGACAGUCUGCUGGUGUCCCCCUGGCUGCACUGCUCUGCCGUCCCGGGGCUGAGGCCAGUGUCCUGGGCCCCGAGAUGUUUCCUACCUUUGAGUCAACUCACCUUCUGCAUCCAGAGAGGAAGCCGAGGCAGCUGGGCCACGGCCCUCUGUCCGAGCGACAGGGUGGGAGCCGCUGUUGUGUGUACAGGACCCUGAGGGCUGGGCCCUGAAUCAGGAACUGGGCCUGGCCUGUAGUCCCAGGCACCCCCCCAGUCCCUGGCAGUGGUGGCUGCGGGAGUGACCCCCGCAAGUGAGCCUGGCCGACUCCAUCCUAGGUUUCCUGACCCCAGCAGCUCUGAGGGGGCAGAACCCUGAAACGGGAGGUGGGCGAGGUGGUGGCCAGUAUCCUUUGCUGCCCCUGAGCCCGAGAGAGAGCCCUGAGCCGCCCACCCUGGGGCUCCCAGUCUGGGCCAAGGGCGGGGCUUGCUCUGGGGAAGGCUGAGAGCAGAGGCGGGUCUCCGAGGCCUGUAUGACCCUGCCCGGGAGACCUUGGCGUUGCGCCGCCAGUAGGGGACAGCUCCUGCGCAGAGAGCUGGUCGGGCCUGGAAGGUGGACUCGGGGGAGUGGGUGGGGCGAGGCGUUCCGAUGAGCGUCAGGACUGUUUGUCUUCCUGGUUCUGACUCCUGGCAGUGGGCGGAAGGGCCUGCCCUGCACAAUGGCCGGAGCCAGGCUUGGCCUGCGUGCUGGGGAGGGCUUGGGUGGCUGGAACAGUCCUGCUUCUGUGCAGGCGCUGAGCCAGGCUGGGCCAUGACUCUGCUCUCUUCUGCUUCCUUUCCAGAUGCAGCCGCCUGUCCUGGGAGCCUGGACUGUGCCCUGAAGAGGCGGGCACGGUGCCCCCCGGGCGCACACGUCUGUGGGCCCUGUCUUCAGCCCUUCCAGGAGGAUCAACAGGGACUCUGUGUGCCCAGGAUGCGCCAGCCUCUGGGGAAGGGCUUGCCCCAGCCCAGACUGGAAGAGGAGAUCGACUUCCUGGCCCAGGAGCUGGCUCGGCAGGAGGCUGGGCACGCCAGGCUCCAGGCCCCGCCCCAGCCUGAGGGGCAGCAGCGACUCCUGGAGGCUGGUGAGACCCUGCCGGUUCCCCCUGCCCGUCUCCCCACCACCCUGACCCCAGCCUGGCCUUGCCAUUCUGACUUGCCAUCUCUCUGCAGCAGUCACCUGGGGCUGUCACAGCGUGGCCAGGGCCCAGACCUGGGCCUCCCCUCCACUCAGGGAGCCCCAGCGCCCACACCCCGCACCUCCCUGGGCUCCGCUGUGUCAUCCGGGCCUGUGCACAUGUCCCCCCUGGAGCCGCGGGGUGGGCGUGGGGACGGCCUCGCCCUCGGUAGGUCUGGGCGGGCUGGGAGGCAGGGUCCUGCCUGGGGGACUGCCCUCACCGCGCCCCCUCCUCCAGUGCUGAUCGUGGCCUGCUCCGUGGCCGGCAUAGCCGCCCUCGCUGUGGCUGCUCUCUGCUGGUGUAGGCUGCAGCGAGACAUCCGCCUGACGCAGAAGGCCGACUACAUGGCCCAGCAGGCGCGCAGCUCCCCCGCGACGCCAGGGGUCUCGCCUGGAGACCAGCGGCUGGCGCACAGCGCGGAGAUGUACCACUACCAGCACCAGAGGCAGCAGAUGCGGUGCCUGGAGCGGUAAGAAGCCCUCCCGCCCCCAGCCCGACCCACCCGCCUCGGGGCCUGCUGACCCCACCCCGGGCGGUACCCCCUAACCCGGGCCCCUGGAGCGUGUGGGAGGACCCGGCGCUCCUGCCCCUCACUCAGGCAUAAAGAGCCGCCCAAGGAGCUGGACUCUGCCUCCUCCGACGAGGAAAACGAAGACGGGGACUUCACGGUAUACGAGUGCCCGGGCCUGGCCCCGACCGGAGAGAUGGAGGUGCGGAACCCGCUGUUCGACCACGCCUCGCUGUCUGGGCCCCCGCCGCAGUGACCCGAAGGCCGCAGGACGCGCCGUCCGUCCGCGGGUGGGGAGGGGCGGGGCCUGGCGUUUCCCAUUAAAAAGACCACGUCCUGAC